UGACACCUGGAAACUUCCAACAUGCUCAGCAAAUCCUCCAUUGUUGAGUGACACUGGCAACCCAUCUCUGUUCUGCAUUUACUCAGAAGAAAAGAUUUUCCAGUCCAUAAACACAUCUUUCAAGAAUGCCAUGCAUGUAUGAGCAAUGAGUUAGUUAUUUCUUACCUGUCCCUUUGCCUGACUGCCCCAGCAGCUGCUCUGACUCUACCUUGGUGGUUACCUGAAGACACAAUCACUCACCUCUCAGAUGAAAUCGUCUUUGAAGGUCUCAUUUAGAUCUGAGUAAACCCAUUCAGAAGACAAGAAAAACUCAUCCCCCAGAAGCCAGGGCAGAGAAGCCCACAGGGCUAAUGGAAGAUAAUCUUCAAAUGCAGAGAAUGAUAUCCCAGGCUCCACCGAGAAACGUACAAUUUCAGAUGCUUGGUGCAAUCCACCCUGAAGGGGAUCCAAAGACAGCUUUUGAGUCUAAACGACAUAAAAUUCUAAUAUGAGCCUUUCUCAUAUGGUCAAGGCAAGUUAGACAUCAUUGCUAUCUCCCAUUCACUAUAUGAAACAUGAGAGUUAAAAUGUCUCAUCAGGAACUACUGAUCCAUAUGACAACAUAGAUGUCUCUCACAGUGAGUGAAAGAAGCGAGACACAAAGUAGUAUCACACCAUAUACACAAUUCCACUUAUAUGUACUUGCAGCCCAGCUGGAAUGAAUCUAUGAGAGAAGAAGUCAGAAUAAUAGCAUCCUCUGGUGUGUCAGAA
rnacentral:lncRNA from 1 species